rnacentral:lncRNA from 1 species
UUGAGAGUUGGUUACAUUAAUUACAUCCUUUUCUUGCUUGAACAUGCCAAUAGGUAGCUAUUCCUAAUUCGAAAACUAUGUACUAAAAUGUCACAUCAAAAUUAGAUGGAGUGAUUCACAUUGGAAGGCAAUGCAGUAAUUCUUCCAGGACAACAUUUGACUCCCGCUAGUGGGUAAAAGUAACUUGGCUUUACGACCCCCGCCAGUGGAAAGAAAUAUCUAGAUGAUGACUUGCAGCGGUAAAGGCCUUGCCGCUGAAAUAAAAGCGGCCAUAGCCACACUACCAUCUGAGAGUAUGAAUUUCAAAGUAUGGAAUAAUAGC